UAUUUGACUUAUUUGGACCUUUUAAAGCUACAUACGAGGCCAUUAGAUCAUCAAGACUCAUCAAGUGCAUCUGCAUUAAAGCACAAAGAUCAGGAUGGAUCGGAUCAGUGGACCAGCCAACAGCUGUUCACACACUGAUGCCAUGGAAUGAGACUUUUGUGUCUUUGGUCAGAGUGAGCUUGGUGGAGAAGCUGAAUCCUAAACCGCUUUUCCAGAACCAGUCAAGCUACAGCAAAGGGGAGAAACUGAGCCGGAGGUCCACACACUUCAGAUGUUUGAUGAUAGAUGAGAUGAAGACUUUCAGUGCAGAGAGACAUCGCUGGCAGAGUGACCUCUCUCGCUUUAUUUUCCAGAUGAAAUAUUGAUUAGUGCAGCUUUAAUCUGACAUCUUUCAUUUCCUCCGCAGGGAGAACGCUACAUGACCUGAAAAGUGCGUAUAAAAAGACGUACGUGCAGUUUGGUGGGAAGAUCCCGGUUCUAAAAGCCUGAUCCAACCAGGGACCACAGAGGGAAGUGGCCAGCGCAGGACUUACACUGCCGUAGACGAGAUGUGGACUUUACAGGAGGAGCGACCUCUCUCUCUCUCUCUGCUCCUCUAAUGCUCGGACGCCCAGUUGGCUGCCUCUGUGUUGAACUCGAUGUGUGUGAGAGAGAAAUUCGGAUGUACGUAACUCACCAGCUCUUUAAGUGUCCCUUAUUCCCUGACAUCUGGAGUGUGUGUGUGUGCAGGAAGCUGCAGGCUAAUGUUGAACACAGACUCUGUUAUAGGAGGGAGACGAGGCUCGUGAUAUUUGCUAACGCUGACACUGAGGUCACUUCACUGGAAAUCAAAGAUACUUUUUAUUUUGAAGGCUUAUGUUACUUCAGUCUUGUGAACAGAAGAACUAAAUGAUGUUAUGGGACUAAACCCCACUUUUAUAUGUAGAAUAUCAUUUAUAAACUUAAAGAAAUGAAAAGCCUAAAUACAUUAUAAAUAUACACUAACUGAAGGAUUUUGAUGUUUAAUUUGGUCCAUGGCGGUUAGCCUGCUUGCAGGUCUGGUUUCCUCCCACAGACACAGAUUGAACGUGCCUGUGACUGAGUGAAGGUGAUGGUGAUUACCUAUCCAGGUAAACCCGCCUUUAGCCUGAUUGACAGCUGGGACAGACGUCAUUCUUCAACAUGGCUGUGACCUGUGACAUGGCUGGAGGACUGAGCAGUAGAAUUUGAGUGAGUGAAUGCCAUUGGUUGGGAGCAAGCUGUCCGCCCAAUCAGAGCAGAAGAGGCGGGCUGUAGCGGCGGUUCCGUAGGAGAACGAGGGAACAGAAACUAGCAGCGCUGAGAGAUUGGCCUAGAACGUGCAACACAUUUUAAUGAAUAGGCUGUGACCCCGGAACAUGAAAUCAGUCUGUGUACUAUCAUCGUGUUUCAUUAAGGUGCUUCUUGCUAUUAGCGUACUAAUUAGCUACUACUAUUAGCACCGAUUAGUUAGCACUGUUAAUGCUAGCUAUGCUCAGCUAACAUUAUUAGCACAGCAGUAGCACAUGUUAGCGUGCAAAGUCCCACACCUUUCUGGGGGUGUUCUGGAAAAUAGAAAAGAAGUGGAGGCUUCCUGUUCCCACCCUAUGUACUGUAGUUGAUGUCUUUUAUCUGAUGCCUGUUUGGCAUCUGGCCUCCCUCUGCCGUCUUCUACCGUACUACCUCUGUACCCCUCCUCAUUUGGUGUAGCAUCCCAACCCCCCUAUACAUCAGCUGGAACAUUGUGUCUCCUACAGCUCAGUCAGCGUUGGAUUCAUUUACUUCAACACUUCUAAUGCUGCUUCUUAAUUAAACAGUAAUUCAGUGCAGGAGUCAUCAACUUAGUCUGGAGAUGUGGGGAGCACUCCCAACAUGGCUGCUGGAAAGGAACUGGAAGGAGUUAAGUUUCAUAACCUGAUGGGCUCUCGCUUAACAUCAAAUGCAGCAAAUAAGAUCAGAAUUCAUUACAGAGAGUAAAGUGAUGAGAAGCAGACACACAGCAGAGGGUGAUGGGGACAAGCUGCAGGUCCAGCCACAGCCCACAGAGUGUGUGAUGUCUGUAUGGAAACACACACACAGGCAUGCAGAAUUCACAGAUGCAUCAGGGCUCGGGACUCCCUCAUAUGACGUCCAGCGGGAGUUUCUUUGGAAACCACUUCCUCAUGUGGGCUGUAUGGGAAGAGAGAGAGGUGCAACUGCAGCAGCUGGAUUUGACAUUAAAGCAGCUGCGACCCACAAUGCAAUAUUGCGCACUGGUAUCCUAUAGCAGGAGAGCCCCCCCCGGUCUGAGCGCAGACACACAAACACACCUGUCACCAACAGUCUGAACAGGAUGUGUUCCCUUGGUUACCAUGGCAGCACUGUUUGUCUGUCAAAUGGAAAUGGAUUCAACAGAGAUGUUCAGCAGUUUUUGAUCAUUUCUAGUAUAUGAAAGCGUUUUCAACUUGUUUUACAGCACGUGUUGCUGGAAUAGAAUCCACAAUCAUUCAGCGUACCAGUGGCCCUACAUCAACUGAAUAUCAUGGUUGGUGUUUUCAUGGCUGUCCACAUUGUUUUGACUCCUGUGAGGUCUCGGGUCAGUGAUGAUGUUGAAAGUAGUAAGUAUUUUUUUUAUUAUUUAUUAGUUAUGAGGCUGAUGAGAGGUGAUUAGUUACCUAAUGUAGUUUUGACUUUGGAUGGAUCGUCCAUCAUUAAACGGUUUGCCCUGACACACUCAAUAAAAUCUUCAUACCUCAGACUUAGGGGCAUUUUACUGUCAAUUUCUUAAACAUAGCAACAGUUUAGUUGAUAUGACACAUUGCAUGUACAUCGCAUGUACGUUAAACAUGGUCAUCACUGUGUGAGUGAAUAAAAGGAUUCUAAGGGCUAAUUCAGAGCAGUCUGCUUCACAAUCCCACGGUGCCCUGCUUAUUGUUUUAGGAUUUGUAAAAUUACUGUUUUGAUCCUAAUAGUUUUGUUCAAACUGUUGACUAUUGAGUAGAAUACGAAAUACAACAUAUGAAUAGGUGAAUAAAGAGUAAUUGUGGAUUUAGUACCCAGAAUGCACUGCUUGUUCAGGGCCUGAUGCUGAUUUGACUGUGCCCACUGUCUGUCAAACCUGUCAAACGCGAGAGAUGACGCGAAAAACAGAAUACUGGAAAACAAAGCGGUGUUAUGAGUAACCCACCUGUUUCCACACAGAAACACAGCAGCCCUGUGUGUCAGGCUGUAAAAGAACUCAGCAACCACAACCAUGUCUUCACUCUCAGCUGAUGAUUGAUAGCACUCAGUAAAAACACAUCAGCAGUGUGGUGCUGAAGGCUGCUGCAGUGGUCGUCUACAGCCUCACGUUUCUUAAAGUUUAGAGACGAGAGUUUGCUGAGAACUUAAAGAAGUUAGCUUUACUCUUCUACACCUUUUACAGGCCUAAAUGUCCACACAGAGAUUAGACACUGUAAAACCAGCAGCAGGGUGAAAUAAUGCACAUUCCUGCCAAUGUCUCACA